rnacentral:rRNA from 1 species
AGUGAACGCUGGCGGUAGGCCUAACACAUGCCAGUCGAACGGCAGCACAGUAAUAGCUUGCUCUUACGGGUGGCGAGUGGCGGACGGGUGAGGAAUACUUCGGACUCUACUUUUUCGUGGGUGAUUACGUAGGGAAACUUACGCUAAUACCGCAUACGACCUACGGGUGUAAGCAGUCGAUCUUCGGACCUUGCGCGAUUGAAUGAGCCGAUGUCGGAUUAGCUAGUUGGCGGGGUAAAGGCCCACCAAGGCGACGAUCCGUAGCUGGUAUGAGAGGAUGAGCAGAAACAAUGGAAGAGAGAAACGGAAAAGACACCUACGGGAGGAAGCAGAAGGGAAUAAUGGACAAUGGGGGAAAGGAUGAUAAAGCAAUACCGAGUGGGGGAAGAAGGCAUAGGGGUAGUAAAGCACGUUUGUUGGGAAAGAAAAGCAGCAGGAUAAUACCCAGAUGGAAUGACGGUACCAAAAGAAUAAGCACCGGCUAACUACGUG